rnacentral:siRNA from 1 species
GAGACCGUCAAUGUCUGAGAUAGU